rnacentral:rRNA from 1 species
GCUCAUCGCAUCCUGGGGCUGGAGCAGGUCCCAAGGGUUUGGCUGUUCGCCAAUUAAAGCGGUACGCGAGCUGGGUUCAAAACGUCGUGAGACAGUUUGGUCCCUAUCUGCUGUGGGCGCUGGAGACUUGAGAGGUUCUGUCCUUAGUACGAGAGGACCGGGAUGGACAUACCUCUGGUGUACCAGUUGUCAUGCCAAUGGCACGGCUGGGUAGCCAAGUAUGGAUGGGAUAACCGCUGAAAGCAUCUAAGCGGGAAACCCACCUCAAGAUUAGGUCUCCCGGGGAGCAAUCCCCCUGAAGGUCCGUCGAAGACUACGACGUGGAUAGGCUGGAGGUGUACGAGCAGCAAUGCUCUCAGCUGACCAGUACUAAUCGACCGUGCGGCUUGGUCUC